rnacentral:misc_RNA from 1 species
GUGUAUGAGGAUCGCCCCCCAGUCUGCCACAUGAUCAUCGCAAAAAAUCAAAACUAAAUAUAAUUUAUUAACCAAAAUGAAAGCAGACUACACUGUCAACUCGUUGGGAAAAAGCACAAACGUCUACAACAAAACAACGGAGGGAAGGGGACAGAAUUAUUCCAAAUUAAGUUGUAAUAUUGGUUUCCUGCAAUACCCAAAAGCUCAUCUCUACUAAACCAAAAAGCAGAAUCGAAUAAGUUUUACAUUCCCAAACGCAAUCAAUAAAUAAAAAAGUUUAGAUUCCCAUAUUUUUUAACACUUU